rnacentral:rRNA from 1 species
UACAGAGGGUGCGAGCGUUAAUCGGAAUUACUGGGCGUAAAGCGUGCGCAGGCGGUUUUGUAAGCCAGAUGUGAAAUCCCCGGGCUCAACCUGGGAAUGGCAUUUGGGACUGCAAGGCUGGAGUGCGGCAGAGGAGACUGGAAUUCCUGGUGUAGCAGUGAAAUGCGUAGAUAUCAGGAGGAACACCGAUGGCGAAGGCAGGUCUCUGGGCUGACACUGACGCUCAUGCACGAAAGCGUGGGGAGCAAACAGG